rnacentral:rRNA from 11 species
UAAAGAAAGCGUAACAGCUCACUGGUCUAAAUAAGGAUUCUUGCGCCGACAAUGUAUCGGGGCUUAAGCCAUACACCGAAGCUUCGGGUGUGCACUUGUGCACGCGGUAGCGGAGCGUUCCGUAAGCCUGCGAAGGGUCACCGCGAGGUGGCCUGGAGGUAUCGGAAGAGCGAAUGCUGACAUGAGUAACGAUAAGGAGUGUGAGAGACACUCCCGCCGAAAGUCCAAGGGUUCC